ACUAACAGAUUCAUCUCAUCCAAACUUCUUUUAAGAUGAAGGGAAUGCUUUUAAAAAUCUUUUAAGUAAAGCUGGCUUGUCUACAUAGCCACAAAUUAAAAGUAUGGGUAAAUGAUUGCAGUUCCUCAUUGAUUCAAAAAUUAUAAUUUAUACAUUACCUCUUUUACAAAUCAGUGAGUGAGAGGAAGUAUGAUUUCUUUUUAUUUUCUGUAUUUCAGAUGACUGUUGCAUUUACUGUCACUGCUUUCUGUAGAAUUUUGAAACAUGCCAUGAGAAUCUGUAAGCUCCAUGAAGAUAGGAGAACCAUUUGCCACCUCUUCUGUUACCUCUCCCGUGGUUCUGGAAAACGAAUUGAGCAACCCCAUUGAUACUUCAGGAAUCAUUUUCUUAUCAGUGACCUCCUCUGCCACACAGCCAAGGCUGCCACUAAUAGGAAAUAACCCCCAGGAGCUUCUGCUGUGUCAGCGUGAACCAGGCACUGUGCAAAGUACAUUGUAUUUGAUCCCCUCAACGAUGGUGAUGGUAUGAGGUA